GCCUGGAUUAGAGCCACAGCCCAACCAGUCAGUGCAUCUGGCUGUAAACCAGAAGGUUGGUGGUUUGAGCCCACCCAGGCA